AUUGAACGCUGGCGGCAGGCCUAACACAUGCAAGUCGAGCGGAUGAAGGGAGCUUGCUCCUGGAUUCAGCGGCGGACGGGUGAGUAAUGCCUAGGAAUCUGCCUGGUAGUGGGGGAUAACGUCCGGAAACGGGCGCUAAUACCGCAUACGUCCUGAGGGAGAAAGUGGGGGAUCUUCGGACCUCACGCUAUCAGAUGAGCCUAGGUCGGAUUAGCUAGUUGGUGGGGUAAAGGCCUACCAAGGCGACGAUCCGUAACUGGUCUGAGAGGAUGAUCAGUCACACUGGAACUGAGACACGGUCCAGACUCCUACGGGAGGCAGCAGUGGGGAAUAUUGGACAAUGGGCGAAAGCCUGAUCCAGCCAUGCCGCGUGUGUGAAGAAGGUCUUCGGAUUGUAAAGCACUUUAAGUUGGGAGGAAGGGCAGUAAGUUAAUACCUUGCUGUUUUAACGUUACCAACAGAAUAAGCACCGGCUAACCUCGUG
rnacentral:rRNA from 1 species